UGGCAACGCUGGCAACUUAUCUUCAAAUAUCUGGCAACUGACGUAUUUUUUAUUUUACAUUUGUCGGCGGGAAAAAUAUGUUGUUCGGAAAGUGAAAUUUAUUUAUAAAGUGCAGCAAAUGUAAGACUCCGGAAUUUUCGUGAUUUCAGCCACGAGAAUGCUGUUCACGGUUGCUCAGCAGACCCCUCCUCAAUCCGGAGUUUUUGCCUCCAAAAAGGUAGCUCCUAAACGUGAAGCGCAACCGUCACUACACCGUCCAGGUCAAUUGGAACCGAAAAAUCAGCACCGCCAAAGGAAACACCAUAAUUACCGACGGUAUUCCGCACAACACAUAUGCCUCAAAAUGCUCCUCCACGCACCACCAUAAACAACGAGCAUUUAUCGACGGAAAUUAAAAGCCGUCGCAUGAGUUCGUCUGCACUGGCCCUGAUGUCCUCAAAGACCAUCAAUUCUCCGCUCACCUUCCAAUCUUUACCCAGUACAAGGAGGAUCCAGUUCGAACAGCAGCAGAAAUGACAACUGCUGGCGGAACUCCAGGAAUUUGGAUAAUGCUAAUACACCGUUAAUCGAACCCUUUCGACUGAGGCGGAACAAUUUGUCUGGUUCCUCUAGCUUUAAUAAAUAACAUAUUGUGAUUUGUUUGUUUGUCCAAAACCCCAAAGUGAAUAAAAUAAGAUAAUAAAAUUAAAA